rnacentral:rRNA from 1 species
UUCUGGUUGAUCCUGCCAGAGGCGACCGCUUUUGGAGUUCGAUUAAGCCAUGCGAGUAGAAUGAAAUUAGAUUCAUUGCAAACUGCUCAGUAACACGUGGAUAACCUGCCCUAUGCUCUGGGAUAACCUCGGGAAACUGAGAAUAAUACCGGAUAGAUCACAACGCCUGGAACGGUGUGUGGUUGAAAGGUUACGGCAUAGGAUGGGUCUGCGGCGUAUCAGGUCGUAGGGGGUGUAAUGGACCCCCUAGCCAUCGACGCGUACGGGUGUUGGGAGACAUAGCCCGGAGACGGAUUCUGAGACACGAAUCCGGACCCUACGGGGUGCAGCAGGCGCGAAAACUUCACACUGCAGGAAACUGUGAUGAGGGAACUCCAAGUGGAUGCACAUAGUGUAUCUCUUUUCUUUACUAUUAAUCGGUAUUGGAAUAAGGGCUGGGAAAGACCGGUGCCAGCCGCCGCGGUAAUACCGGCAGCUCGAGUGGUCGUCGCUUUUAUUGGGCCUAAAACGUCCGUAGCCGGUUUGGUAAAUCUGUGGGUAAAUCAACUAGCUUAACUAGUUGAAUUCUGCAGAGACUGCCAGACUAGGAACCGGGAGAGGUGUGGGGUACUCAAGGGGUAGGGGUAAAAUCCUGUCAUCCUUUGAGGACCACCAGUUGCGAAGGCGCCACACUGGAACGGAUUCGACGGUCAGGGACGAAGCCUAGGGGCACGAACCGGAUUAGAUACCCGGGUAGUCCUAGGUGUAAACGCUGUGAACUUGGUGUCGGGAGUCCGCAAUGGGCCCCCGGUGCCGGAGUGAAGAUGUUAAGUUCACUGCCUGGGGAGUACGGUCGCAAGGCUGAAACUUAAAGGAAUUGGCGGGGGAGCACUGCAACGCGAGGAGCGUGCGGUUUAAUUGGAUUCAACGCCGGAA